rnacentral:rRNA from 1 species
UACGAAGGGGGCUAGCGUUGCUCGGAAUUACUGGGCGUAAAGGGCGCGUAGGCGGAUAUCUAAGUUGGGGGUGAAAUCCCGGGGCUCAACCUCGGAAUUGCCUUCAAACUGGGUAUCUUGAGUUCGGGAGAGGUGAGUGGAACUCCGAGUGUAGAGGUGAAAUUCGUAGAUAUUCGGAAGAACACCAGUGGCGAAGGCGACUCACUGGCCCGAUACUGACGCUGGGGCGCGAAAGCGUGGGAGCAACAGG